CAUGCUUCAUCAAUGUCUUUGGCGUCAAAACAAAGCACAUGGAUUGAAGGAAGAGGCGAUUGAGUUAAGCUAAAUUCCUAUGAAACUUUGGAAUUUUAAAUUAAUUUUACUACAACUCUAUCUGGGAAAUUCUACAGAAAGUUCUUACAAAAAGCUUAUCAUAAGCUUCAAAAAGUAGGAGCCUUUAGAUUGAAAAAAAAGGAUAAAAGCAAAACCGGGAUUUACCGGUUAUAGGUAAUCAAAGAAAUUCACUAAAGGUGAAAAAAUUCUUCUUUAGGUUAAAAAAACAUUUCUUCCCCAAGCCGCCGUUCCCCGUUCCUCCUCCAGACCCAUUCCGGUCGACGCCACCGCCGUGUUUGCCACUCUCCGACGCCGGUCGGAAAAUCUCGCUACAUCAUCAAUGCCGUAGGUUCUGUUCAAGGCAACAUUUUAUGCCAUCCCAUGCUUUCCUCUUCUUCACCGCGGUUCUGACCGAUCCCGCUGGACAUCGUUGCCGUGUCUGUCAUUUUCCGAUGAAUAACGAAGCCCAGUGCCUCGUCAGUGCCGUAGGUUCCGAUUGGUGCAUUUUGGUCGUUCCUCUUCUUCGCCGUGGGACGGGCUUACUGCUCUCGACGUUCCCGCCCUCUUUUGACAAUGGUAUAGUGAUAUCAAUAACGGUUCUAAUAGCAAGUGGGUUCCCAAACAAACAACAAAUCCUAGCCUCUAAACACUAUGUUGGUGUCGUGAUCGAAGGAGAAGAACGAGUGAGCGGUCAAGAUGUUCGGGGCCAAAAUAGUUGUACCAUCACCAAUGUGCAUGCCUUCAGCAACUAGACCAUGACACAACAAGGCCCAAAAAAGGAAACAAACAUCUAAACUGCCGUGAAAAUUUGCCGAAACCAUCAAAAGGAGUGGAGCCACGACCAUCAUAAGUGGCCUCAGCCCCCAAAUAACAGAAUUGGUGCAGUGAGUCCAAAGCCCAACGAAAUUCAAUCGAUAGAAAGCCUGGCAACGACGGCAUCUUACAUAUGCUCAAAAAGGACCAAGCCUAAGUGAACAGAAAAACAAGCACAAGACAUAGAGAGAGCCAUGCUCCAAGCAAAAGCAUACAGAAACCCACACAGUGGCAGGGGUCGGCCCAAAUCACAGCAGCAAAAUGUCAAAAAUCCGCCGUGCUGACAGUGAAGAAGAAGGGAAAACCCUUUAUUUUCCGAUCGCCUGGAAGGGACAAAAGAAACAUCUUGUUCUUUCUUCAACAAUUUCUGAUCUCUAGUGGACCUAACUCUUUUAACAGAAAAUAAAAAUCAAGAGCAUGAUUCAUUUCUCUUAAAUUGUACAAUGUAUAUUGUUCCACACCAUAAAAAGUAACUAUUAUUUUAGUAAUAGAUGAUUUAUUAAAUUAA